rnacentral:rRNA from 1 species
GUUCAGAUCGCAGUCUGCAACUCGACUGCGUGAAGUCGGAAUCGCUAGUAAUCGCGGAUCAGCAUGCCGCGGUGAAUACGUUCCCGGGCCUUGUACACACCGCCCGUCACACCAUGAGAGUCGGGAACACCCGAAGCCCGUAGCCUAACUUUAACGAGGGGGCGCGGUCGAAGGUGGGUUCGAUAAUUGGGGUGAAGUCGUAACAAGGUAUC